UACCAGCUCUCCGAGUGGUAGGGAUGAUUAUUGGGCUUAAAGCGUCCGUAGCCGGCUUAGCAAGUCUCCUGUUAAAUUCAGCGACCUAAUCGUUGAGCCGCGGGAGAUACUACUAGGCUAGGAGGCGGGAGAGGUCAACGGUACUUCCGUGGUAGGGGUGAAAUCCUAUAAUCCCGGGAGGACCACCAGUGGCGAAGGCUGUUGACUAGAACGCGCUCGACGGUGAGGGACGAAAGCUGGGGGAGCGAACCGGAUUAGAUACCCGGGUAGUCCCAGCUGUAAACGAUGCGAGCUAGGUGUUGGGGUGGCUACGUGCCACUUCAGUGCCGCAGGGAAGCCAUUAAGCUCGCCGCCUGGGGAGUACGGCCGCAAGGCUGAAACUUAAAGGAAUUGGCGGGGGAGCACCACCAGGCGUGAAGCCUGCGGUUU
rnacentral:rRNA from 1 species